AAAGUGGGGGACCUUCGGGCCUCAUGCCAUCAGAUGUGCCCAGAUGGGAUUAGCUAGUAGGUGGGGUAACGGCUCACCUAGGCGACGAUCCCUAGCUGGUCUGAGAGGAUGACCAGCCACACUGAAACUGAGACACGGUCCAGACUCCUACGGGAGGCAGCAGUGGGGAAUAUUGCACAAUGGGCGCAAGCCUGAUGCAGCCAUGCCGCGUGUGUGAAGAAGGCCUUCGGGUUGUAAAGCACUUUCAGC
rnacentral:rRNA from 1 species